rnacentral:lncRNA from 1 species
AUACAGGCAAUGAUGGAUGGGAGAAAGAAGGGAAGAGGAGCUGGUAAGUCUCCCCCUCCCUCCUUCCCAUGUUAAAUUAAGAAGACAGCCGGAUGCCAGAGGCUGCUGGUGACUUAUAAAUGGUCUGCAGACAGCAGUUGAUUUCAGCAUGCGGCUCAGAUCUGUUGCACCACUAGACAUGCCUCCGCCAGCCUUAGUGUCACAACUGAUGGGCUUGCUCUGGACAUACAAGUGACUGACUGGAUCGUGAACAGUUGUUCUCAAGAGACAGUGAAUGUCUUCAGGACAGGAACCUGGGACAAGAUGUGGAGGUGACCUGAAGGAAACACCAGACUCACCAUUGUGGAAGAUCUAGAAGCAAGGCGAUCAGAGUCGCACAAACUCAGGCAGAUGCCACACCGAAAGGACUGCCAUUAUCACACAUGCCAUGAAAACACUCCCUGUCUUAGUGACCCCACAAGUGGGGACAAUCAUGCUUCCCUCCUGAAUAUUUAACAGGAUGGAAGGUUCUGAGUCUGCUCUCAACAGGUGAUCAAUCCAUACCAUGAGCUUCCGUCCAUUUCCUGUUCAAAGUGUCUAAUAAAAAUCAAACAAACAAACAAACAAACAAAAACCAACAGUGAAAUGCUAAAAGUGUUAGUGUUAACAGGCGCGGUGACAGAAGCACAGGAAAAUGUACUUUCUCACUGACCCCAGUGAGGACCUUGUAAUAAAGUUCACGAGAAUUUUCCU